GGGUCCGGAGCAGCUCCGGAGGUUUGGAAUGGUCGGGCCGCCAUUC
rnacentral:ncRNA from 2 species